UAGUUGGUGGAGUGAUUUGUCUGGUUAAUUCCGUUAACGAACGAGACCCCCGCCUGCUAAAUAGUAUCACCAAUGCUUAGCAUUGGUGUAUGCUUCUUAGAGGGACUUUUGGUGACUAACCAAAGGAAGUUGGGGGCAAUAACAGGU
rnacentral:rRNA from 1 species